rnacentral:lncRNA from 1 species
CAUAAAUUCAGAUGAGCACAGUAAGAUAAAUGCUUCCUAAAUCCAAAUCUCAAAGUGACAUUAAUGGUGACCUUUUUUUUUUUUAAUUAGAGUGAUAGUGAUUCAGAUCUGCUGAGGAUCUCACCCUUAGAGUUACCUGACCUGAUAAUAUUUUUUGCUGAUGCUCCAUUUAUAUGAGUACAACAGAGGGACCUCAAAGACUACAGCAAUUACUCAUAUAUGGUUUGAUGCCCUUUUUUUCCACCACCGAGGCUCAAGGGAACAACUGUGGUAAUAAGAUUCAUAUCCACCAUUUUACCAUCAUGAAAUCACAGAUUUGAUGAAUGAUACUGAUGUGGAACUUUGCCUUCUUUGCAGGUAUGAAAGGAAAAAUUAAUCCUGGGGUCUUCAAAACAGAACACAGUGACCUCAGUCAAAACUCUUUGCACAUAGAAAAAAAUCCUGAAAACCAGUGUUGCACACAGAGAAUGACACAUGGACAUGUUUGGGAAGUGGCAAAGGAGGAGAAAAUUAUUUUUGCACAAAUGAAAGAAGAGCUUCUGGGUCCUCCUCUCUUCCCCCUGUUCUCUUUUUGAUGCCUCCCUCCAUGCAAACCUCUGCACACUUCUAGGAAGGUGGAUGCAAAGUGCUGAAGCAACACAAGGUGUGAUGUUCUUGAGAAGUCUCUGGUCUCCUGAGCAGCUUCUUGUGAGAUUUACAACUCCAAAAGAUUGACUAUAAAUAAAUAAAACCUUUCAACACCUUCUAGCUCCUGG